UGAGGAAUAUUGGUCAAUGGGCGCGAGCCUGAACCAGCCAAGUAGCGUGCAGGAUGACGGCCCUAUGGGUUGUAAACUGCUUUUAUAUGGGAAUAAAGUGAGGGACGUGUCCCUUAUUGCAUGUACCAUACGAAUAAGGACCGGCUAAUUCCGUGCCAGCAGCCGCGGUAAUACGGAAGGUCCAGGCGUUAUCCGGAUUUAUUGGGUUUAAAGGGAGCGUAGGCUGGAGAUUAAGUGUGUUGUGAAAUGUAGACGCUCAACGUCUGAAUUGCAGCGCAUACUGGUUUCCUUGAGUACGCACAACGUUGGCGGAAUUCGUCGUGUAGCGGUGAAAUGCUUAGAUAUGACGAAGAACUCCGAUUGCGAAGGCAGCUGACGGGAGCGCAACUGACGCUUAAGCUCGAAGGUGCGGGUAUCAAACAGG
rnacentral:rRNA from 1 species